GCAUAUCAAUAAGCGG
rnacentral:rRNA from 1 species